AGUGAACGCUGGCGGUAGGCCUAACACAUGCAAGUCGAACGGCAGCACAGUAAGGGCUUGCUCUUACGGGUGGCGAGUGGCGGACGGGUGAGGAAUACAUCGGAAUCUACUUUUUCGUGGGGGAUAACGUAGGGAAACUUACGCUAAUACCUCAUACGACCUACGGGUGAAAGCAGGGGAUCUUCGGACCUUGCGCGACUGAAUGAGCCGAUGUCGGAUUAGCUAGUUGGCGGGGUAAAGGCCCACCAAGGCGACGAUCCGUAGCUGGUCUGAGAGGAUGAUCAGCCACACUGGAACUGAGACACGGUCCAGACUCCUACGGGAGGCAGCAGUGGGGAAUAUUGGACAAUGGGCGAAAGCCUGAUCCAGCAAUACCGCGUGGGUGAAGAAGGCCUUCGGGUUGUAAAGCCCUUUUGUUGGGAAAGAAAAGCAGCAGGUUAAUACCCCGCUGUUCUGACGGUACCCAAAGAAUAAGCACCGGCUAACUUCGUG
rnacentral:rRNA from 1 species